rnacentral:misc_RNA from 1 species
UCCGUCCGAUUUGUGAAGUUAAGCAGCUACAGGCUCAGUUAGUACUGAGGUCAGUGAUGACUCGGGAACCCUGAGUGUCGUACCCCCAACCACUUUUUUUUUUUCUCGUUCAUCCGUCGAAAGCCUCUCGUCGUGUGCCAUGGGCUUCUCGCUGGCUGUUGAGUACGACCAUACUUGGCUGAAAACACCAUAUCCCGUCCGAUUUGUGAAGUUAAA